rnacentral:rRNA from 1 species
UACGAAGGGGGCUAGCGUUGCUCGGAAUUAUUGGGCGUAAAGGGCUCGUAGGUGGCCAACUAAGUCAGACGUGAAAUCCCUCGGCUUAACCGGGGAACUGCGUCUGAUACUGGAUGGCUUGAGUUUGGGAGAGGGAUGCGGAAUUCCAGGUGUAGCGGUGAAAUGCGUAGAUAUCUGGAGGAAUACCGGUGGCGAAGGCGGCAUCCUGGACCGGCAUUGACGCUGAUGAGCGAAAGCUAGGGGAGCAAACGGG